AAGUCGUAACAAGGUUUCCGUAGGUGAACCUGCGGAAGGAUCAUUAACACGUAUCCACGUAUACAUCUCACGAAUACGAAGAACUUAGCUCCCCGUACCUCAUUCGAUCUCUUCACUUGCGAUCUCGGAUUAUAGUGGGUCCCUGCGCUGGGCUUCGGCUUGGUUCAGUGUGGCAUAUUCGAAUUGCGUUCCUUCUUUCGAGAAGGAAGGUGAAGUAACUGUAAUGGCGGGCUUAUUUUCAAUCUGCUUCCCAACCACUUUGGGGCGGCGGUGCGAAAACCCAUAACCAUUUUCACCCUAUUUUGCCCAUUUGGCUAAUUUCUAUAUUCAACUGGAGAAAUCCUUUUGAAUGACCUAAGAUUUAUCUUAACUAAGCACAACUCUUAGCAAUGGAUAUCUUGGUUCUC
rnacentral:misc_RNA from 1 species